rnacentral:rRNA from 1 species
AUGAACGCUAGCUACAGGCUUAACACAUGCAAGUCGAGGGGCAUCAGGAAGAAAGCUUGCUUUCUUUGCUGGCGACCGGCGCACGGGUGAGUAACACGUAUCCAACCUGCCCUUUACUCGGGGAUAGCCUUUCGAAAGAAAGAUUAAUACCCGAUGGCAUAAUGAUUCCGCAUGGUUUCAUUAUUAAAGGAUUCCGGUAAAGGAUGGGGAUGCGUUCCAUUAGGUUGUUGGUGAGGUAACGGCUCACCAAGCCUUCGAUGGAUAGGGGUUCUGAGAGGAAGGUCCCCCACAUUGGAACUGAGACACGGUCCAAACUCCUACGGGAGGCAGCAGUGAGGAAUAUUGGUCAAUGGGCGCUAGCCUGAACCAGCCAAGUAGCGUGAAGGAUGAAGGCUCUAUGGGUCGUAAACUUCUUUUAUAUAAGAAUAAAGUGCAGUAUGUAUACUGUUUUGUAUGUAUUAUAUGAAUAAGGAUCGGCUAACUCCGUGCCAGCAGCCGCGGUAAUACGGAGGAUCCGAGCGUUAUCCGGAUUUAUUGGGUUUAAAGGGAGCGUAGGUGGACUGGUAAGUCAGUUGUGAAAGUUUGCGGCUCAACCGUAAAAUUGCAGUUGAUACUGUCAGUCUUGAGUACAGUAGAGGUGGGCGGAAUUCGUGGUGUAGCGGUGAAAUGCUUAGAUAUCACGAAGAACUCCGAUUGCGAAGGCAGCUCACUAGACUGCAACUGACACUGAUGCUCGAAAGUGUGGGUAUCAAACAGGAUUAGAUACCCUGGUAGUCCACACAGUAAACGAUGAAUACUCGCUGUUUGCGAUAUACAGUAAGCGGCCAAGCGAAAGCAUUAAGUAUUCCACCUGGGGAGUACGCCGGCAACGGUGAAACUCAAAGGAAUUGACGGGGGCCCGCACAAGCGGAGGAACAUGUGGUUUAAUUCGAUGAUACGCGAGGAACCUUACCCGGGCUUAAAUUGCAGUGGAAUGAUGUGGAAACAUGUCAGUGAGCAAUCACCGCUGUGAAGGUGCUGCAUGGUUGUCGUCAGCUCGUGCCGUGAGGUGUCGGCUUAAGUGCCAUAACGAGCGCAACCCUUAUCUUCAGUUACUAACAGGUUAUGCUGAGGACUCUGGAGAGACUGCCGUCGUAAGAUGUGAGGAAGGUGGGGAUGACGUCAAAUCAGCACGGCCCUUACGUCCGGGGCUACACACGUGUUACAAUGGGGGGUACAGAAGGCAGCUAGCGGGUGACCGUAUGCUAAUCCCAAAAUCCUCUCUCAGUUCGGAUCGAAGUCUGCAACCCGACUUCGUGAAGCUGGAUUCGCUAGUAAUCGCGCAUCAGCCACGGCGCGGUGAAUACGUUCCCGGGCCUUGUACACACCGCCCGUCAAGCCAUGGGAGCCGGGGGUACCUGAAGUACGUAACCGCAAGGAUCGUCCUAGGGUAAAACUGGUGACUGGGGCU